ensembl:lncRNA
CACACACACACACACUGUUACAUCAUCCUCAAGGUAACACACACACACACACACUGUUACAUCAUCCUCAAGGUAACACACACACACACACACUGCUACAUCAUCCUCAAGGUAGCACACACACACACUGCUACAUCAUCCUCAAGUUAACACACACACACACACACACUGCUACAUCAUCCUCAAGGUAACAAACACACACACACACACUGCUACAUCAUCCUCAAGGUAACACACACACACACACACACACACUGCUACAUCAUCCUCAAGGUAGCACACACACACUGCUACAUCAUCCUCAAGGUAGCACACACACACACUGCUACAUCAUCCUCAAGGUAGCACACACACACACUGCUACAUCAUCCUCAAGGUAACACACACACACACACUGCUACAUCAUCCUCAAGGUAACACACACACACACACACACUGCUACAUCAUCCUCA